AUUAUUGAAUUUAAUAAUAUGGGAAGUGCACUUCAUUGUGGCUCCCUAUUAUAUUUCAAUUAUUGAAUUUAAUAAUAUGGGAAGUGCACUUCAUUGUGGCUCCCUAUUAUAUUUCACAUUACCC
rnacentral:rRNA from 1 species